rnacentral:rRNA from 1 species
UACGGAGGGUGCGAGCGUUGUCCGGAAUCACUGGGCGUAAAGGGCGCGUAGGUGGCUCAUUAAGUGGUCGGUGAAAUCCCGGGGCUCAACUCCGGGGCUGCCGGUCAGACUGGUGGGCUAGAGCACGGUAGGGGCAGAUGGAAUUCCAGGUGUAGCGGUGAAAUGCGUAGAUAUCUGGAGGAACACCGGUGGCGAAGGCGACAUCCUGGACCGGUAUUGACGCUGAGGCGCGAAAGCCAGGGGAGCAAAGCGGG